CGGUGCCACGCGUGCACUGCAUUCCUGUGCGCUGUCUGCAGACGCCUGACGACCGCUCGCUGCGUUUCGUUAGGC
rnacentral:sRNA from 1 species